CGAACGGGUGAGUAACGCGUGAGGAACCUGCCUCAAAGAGGGGGACAACAGUUGGAAACGACUGCUAAUACCGCAUAAGCCCACGGCUCGGCAUCGAGCAGAGGGAAAAGGAGUGAUCCGCUUUGAGAUGGCCUCGCGUCCGAUUAGCUAGUUGGUGAGGUAACGGCCCACCAAGGCGACGAUCGGUAGCCGGACUGAGAGGUUGAACGGCCACAUUGGAACUGAGACACGGUCCAA
rnacentral:rRNA from 1 species